UUUAAGUAAGAAAUCAAACUUGAUUUUCAAAAGUUAUUUUUUUCCCUGCUGGCAAAGUGAGACAGAGUGCAAUUUCAUUGGGUGCUUUGCUUUUGUGUGGUGUGAGAGCACAUCAAUGCCAAAAGAGCUUCUGUUGGAAAGGGAUUAGUAGUUUCUGGGGGCCCCCAAAAACGGGGGGCACGAGG
ensembl:ncRNA F56E3.8 ncRNA